GGAGAGGUGCCAGAGCGGCUGAACGGGCCGGUUUCGAAAACCGGUUGGCCUGCAAGGGUCACGGGGGUUCGAAUCCCCCCCUCUCCGCCA
rnacentral:tRNA from 1 species